rnacentral:rRNA from 1 species
GAUGAACGCUGGCGGCGUGCCUAAUACAUGCAAGUCGAGCGAACGGACGAGAAGCUUGCUUCUCUGAUGUUAGCGGCGGACGGGUGAGUAACACAUGGAUAACCUACCUAUAAGACUGGGAUAACUUCGGGAAACCGGAGCUAAUACCGGAUAAUAUUUUGAACCGCAUGGUUCAAAAGUGAAAGACGGUCUUGCUGUCACUUAUAGAUGGAUCCGCGCUGCAUUAGCUAGUUGGUAAGGUAACGGCUUACCAAGGCAACGAUGCAUAGCCGACCUGAGAGGGUGAUCGGCCACACUGGAACUGAGACACGGUCCAGACUCCUACGGGAGGCAGCAGUAGGGAAUCUUCCGCAAAGGGCGAAAGCCUGACGGAGCAACGCCGCGUGAGUGAUGAAGGUCUUCGGAUCGUAAAACUCUGUUAUUAGGGAAGAACAUAUGUGUAAGUAACUGUGCACAUCUUGACGGUACCUAAUCAGAAAGCCACGGCUAACUACGUG